AUGAAAACAAAUAGAUAAAAUAGAAUUGGAAUAGAGUGCCAGAUGAAGGUUAAUAAAUGUAUUAAUAAAAUGUAUUAAUUCAUUUGAUUACUUUUAUUAUUUUCAUUAAUUUUUAAUUAAUUUACGUUAAAGUAAAUCAAAGGUAAAAUCAGUAUGUUGUGUAUUUCAGACCAUUAUUUUUUAAUAUUAACUCUAAAAUAUCUCAAGGGCAUUCCAGCACAACCUCCAAGAUGAACACUAAACGUAAAUGAAAAAAAACCCCACUACCAACUGAAUAUGGUGGGAAUCUUGUAAAACAAUGAGAAUGAUAUUAUCAGUCCUUACUGAGAGCCAGUUGUGCUUCAGACAAGAGUGACUGAUUAUACUGUGAACUACGUGAACUCGCUGCAGCUCCCUCGUGUGGGUUUCCGCUGCCGCGCAGUGCGCAUGCGCGGUCCCAGCAGCAUCAGUUCCCCAGCGGUCGCCAGAGAGCGAGAGGAGGUAGUGUCUGACUCUGAACCUGCGGCAGCUCUGAGUGUUCCCCUGCUCCUGAUGCACGCGCGGGGCUACUGACCUCAACUGCAACCACAAGCCAUGAAUUACCAACGUGAUCUAUUAGAGUCGAGUCCGAUUUGUCCGUGAAGUCAACAGGCGGUGAUCGUGAUGUACUAUUUACGGAGGAAAGCAGCAUUCUCCAGGUUCAGGUUAAGGCCUACUUGUUAGAUCCCCAUCCUCGUCUCAACGGAGUCGCAUCGUGAUGGCUGAAGACCAGCAGCAGUCUGAAGCUGGAGUAGGACCAGCUUUACCUUCCGCGGUUCAAGGACUGCAAGGGGCUGAGGCGAAUGCGUUGCAGCUAAAAAUAAAGAACUCGAUCUGCAAAACCGUACAAUCAAAGGUGGAUUGCAUUUUGCAAGAUGUGGAGAAUCUUACAGACAUUGAAAAACUCUACCUCUAUCUGAAGUUGCCUUCUGGACCCAGCAGUGGCAAUGAGAAAAAUGAGCAGAGCUCCAUGUCAUCAAGUCGUACCCAGCAGUUGCAUGCAUUUAGCUGGAUUCGCAACCACCUUGAGGAGCAUCCUGAAACCUCGCUGCCUAAACAAGAAAUUCUUUGUGACUUUGGAAAGAUCAUGAAGAACGUCUUUCCCAACAUGAAGGCACGUCGACUUGGCAUGCGAGGCAAAUCCAAAUAUCCUUCAGUGGAAAUUUUUAAGGCUUUUGUACACAUGCCAUCUCUUCCCAACCUAGAUCUUCACAAAUCAGGUGAUGGGUGUGAAGUGUUUGAACCUACUGGUCAACUGUCCAGUGCAGAAGACGAGGUGCGCAUGGCCGCAUGUGGGUUGGUGUGCGAGUGGGCACAGAAAGUGCUGAGUCGGCAGUUUGACAGCGUUGAGGAUCUGGCUCGAUUUCUUUUGAACAGCCACUAUAUUGGAACUAAGUCUGUGGCUGCUCUUACUGUGAUGACCGGUUCCCCCUCAGGAGCAAAAUUGUCCAUUCAGUCAUCUCCUCAGGUUAAAACCCUGGUCUCACCCUCAGUAGAUGCCAAACAGCAGCUACAAAGGAAGAUCCAGAAGAAGCAGCAAGAACAGAAACUGCAUUCUCCACUCCCUGGUGAAGCUCAGGCCAGGAGGGCAGAUGGGGGCAUAACUCCUGGGGCAGGGACAGGCAUACCCUGUGGAAGUCCUGCUCUUCUCUCACCUCAACCUAUUGGGAUUGUGGUUGCAACUGUUUCCAGCCCUAUCACGGUUCAGAGGAGCAGGCAGUUGUUGUCUCCUAGCCCUGUUCCCAUGGGAGCUGCAGACAGCAAAGUUCUUCCUGUAAACUUUCAAGUGGUUACCCAGUCAGUGCAGCCUGUGAAGCAGUGCCCCAAGACACCUCAUAAUAUCUCGGCUAGUCCGAUAAGUGACCGGUCAGCCCGUCAUCGGUAUGCCCAAAUCCUGCCCAAGCCAUCUGCCUCAAGUGGCAUAACCCUGCGCUCACCAACAUUGCUUAUUACCAACAGCCCCAUCAAGACAGUAAUGUCAACUCCGCAUGUCAGUUCGGUCAAUGUAGUCAAGAUGACGACCAUAUCUCUAGGCUCUAAUGGCAGUGGGACCAGCACACCAGCCGAUAGCCCUGCCAGCAACAAAGUCAGACCCGCAUCUGCUGGAGUUGCCAGCCUCAAUGAUGAUCCACAGCCAGUUACGCGUGUUCGCAGUGGGUCUAUAGCUGUAAUGCCAUCUGUUUUGGCAAGGUCAGGCCGCUCAACAUCCAUGACCCCUGUCAUCGACACUAAAACAAAUACUGAAGCCAUAAUUGGAAGUGGUCAAGAGCACGGUGGUACAAGUAGACUGGCAACCACUCUGGACACCAUUGGUGGUGUACAGCGGUCAGGGAUAUUCAAACCAAGAGCGGCUAGCGUACCCACUCCUCUUGACAAGGGCUCUCUGGGAUUGGACACUCUAACAGGGACCAAAUGCAGUGAGAGGACACUCCUUAGUGUCAAAACUCUGUCUGCUGGCAGCAAUAAUAUGUCCAACACUAAUGAAAGCACUUUGUACCAGAACACAAGUAGCACUCAGUCAAACAGUGGUAAUGCGGUUGUGACAUCACCCAAAGAUGCAGUGUUGGCAUCCAAGAGCCCUCACAAAAGACCUGGCUUAUGCACUGAUUUGAGCCCAACACCUGUUAAAAAAGCCCACAUUUCUGUGCUACCAGCAGGUGGAACCGAUGGACUGAAGUCGAAUGUAAUGGCGAAGCAAAAUCCAAGAUCAAGCACUCCUAUAAAGACAGAAAGUGCACCUCUCACAGCCACAGGCAAAGCUACUGCAUUUUCUGUCACCUCUACAGCAGGUCAGGAUACUUCAGUGGGGAAUACCAUGUUUCAGACUGUUUGCAGACCCCGAAGCAUCUCCCAAGGGAGAUGGGAAGGAUCUUCAACAGGUGUUGAAGGUAGAGCUGUGGUCACCCGAACUGUUAGCGCUCCAGGUCAGGCUUUGCUACAACAAGUAACCAAAAACUCAAAGGAUUUGCUUCUAGACCAGUCUGACUCUUCUGCAGCAUAUGAACUGAAGAGUGUAUUUUGGGAUAGUGAGCUGCAAGAUGCUACUCAACAACAUCAGGAACCCCUUCCUGCAAUUGCUCAAGCCUCUCCUUCCAACCAGCAGGCUCAAAUGGGUGACUAUAGAACCCAGGCCAACCUAAGCUACUUUCCGUUUGAUGAUGACAUGACUCAGGAUAGCAUUGUUGAGGAACUUGUACAAAUGGAAGAGCAGAUGAAAAUUAACAAUAGCAUACAAAAUUUCAGCAACUGUGUGGAUAAUGCACUGCAAGGCCAGCAACAAACCAUGCAGACUACCAUGAUGUCUACCCUCCAGACCAACACCCUGUAUUACAGCUCUGCUCAUAGCAGCAGCACCCCAAUCCAAACACCCACUCCUACACCUACUCCCACUUCUGAGAUGAUAGGAAGUGGUCAGGGUAUGAUGCACGAAAGCCCCUGUUCGCGCUUAGCCCCAACCACUCCGGUCGACAGCGCUCUUGGAAGUAGUCGACAAACACCUAUUGGCACGCCCCACUCCAACUGCAGCAGUAGUAUCCCACCAAGCCCUGUGGAAUGCAGGAACCCUUUUGCCUUUACUCCUAUUAACUCCAGUAUCACUGGAUACCAUGAUGGAAGUACCGUCUCCUCAAGCCCUGUCAAGCCCAUGCAAAGACCAAUGGCCACACAUCCAGAUAAGACUAAACUGGAAUGGAUGAACAGUGGGUACAGUAACAGUGGUGGGAACACCAACAAUGGCAUUAGCAUUCUGCCCAGCUACCGAGACCUAGUAGAUGACCACUUUCGAAAGCCUCACGCCUUUGCCAUCCCGGGCCAGACCUGUCAGUCGCAACCCAGAUAUCAUGAAACUCAUAUCAGCCGCUUGACACCCAUUUCGCCUGUCCAACAGCAAGUGGCAAGCAUGGCUAGCCUCAACAAGAAAGAGGGUUUUGCUGUUCCAGCACCCCUUGACAACAAGGCCAGCUCAGGGUCCGGAACAUUUCGAUGCCGCAGCGUUAGCCCAGCAGUCAGGCAGCGCAACUUGAGCGGGACCCAAAAUCCCAAUGUUCCCCACUCUGUGGUCUCUCCUUUCAACUCACCUGUAACACCUGAAGUGCUAAACAUCUUUUCUAACAGUGACCCUGAUGCAAGCAUCAGCAGCAUGGCACAGAGGAGUCAGUCUGUUCCAGUCACAGUGAUGAUGCAGUCUGAGGUUCUACCCAUGCAAGCAGGCCAGCAGAUGAAUACCAAAAACAUCACCAAUGUCCUCAUCAACAAAAUGGAUGGCGAAGGAGAUGACUCUGUGCGUGGCAUCGGAAUCAACAACAUGCCGUCCAACUACACUGCCCGCAUGAAUCUCACCCAGAUUCUAGAGACCACCACAGUGCCCAGCUUUCCUGGUAGUGCCAGCCACCAAGCUCUGAUCUCGCCUUGUUCAUCAGCCUUUGAGUCCCAGAAGCCUGCUUACCUCAUGAAAAAUGCCAGAGAGGAGCCAAUGAGCUUCUCUGUAGACGAAAGCCAAGCACAAUCAGCCUCAAGGGAGCACCAGCCGCGUCAACAACAGCAGCAGCAGCACUUAGGUAGACGGCAGUUCCUUGGGCAGGAACAACAGAGUCAGGCCAUGCUGUUGCCUCUACAGCAAAACCUCCAACAACAUCAGCACCAGCAGCCCUUGGAUUUAGACAGAACUGUUAAAGAUCUUUUACAUGAGGAAAGCUUGAAUUCUGGCUCACAGCUUGUGGGUCAAGGAUCAGAGCUCCGUGCUGGGAGUUCAGAGUUUCCCAGCGAUAUGCGACUAACCUCUGAGCUUACCGGUAGCAUAAGUGACUUAAAUACAUUGGACACCAACCUUCUUUUUGACCCCAGUCAACAGCAAGGACAAUAUGAAGACUCGACACUGGAAGAACUGAAGAACGACCCACUUUUUCAACAGAUAUGCAGCGAGACUGUGAAUUCUGCGGGCUUUGACUGGUUGGAGAGCAAAGACCAGGCAACAGUGGAAAUGUUGGGUUAA
ensembl:lncRNA